GGAGCGGUGUCCGAGUGGCUGAAGGGGCCGCACUGGAAAUGCGGUGUGCGGGUAACUGCACCGAGGGUUCGAAUCCCUCCCGCUCCG
rnacentral:tRNA from 1 species